UACGUAGGGGGCAAGCGUUGUCCGGAUUUAUUGGGCGUAAAGGGCGUGUAGGCGGCCUGUUAAGUCUGAAGUGAAACUCCAGGGCUCAACCCUGGAACUGCUUCGGAUACUGGGAGGCUUGAGUACUCUAGAGGGUAGUGGAAUUGCCGGUGUAGCAGUGAAAUGCGUAGAGAUCGGCAGGAACACCAGUGGCGAAGGCGACUGCCUGGGGAGAAACUGACGCUGAGGCGCGAAAGCUGGGGGAGCAAACGGG
rnacentral:rRNA from 1 species